CGCGUGAGGAACCUGCCUUUCAGAGGGGGACAACAGUUGGAAACGACUGCUAAUACCGCAUAAUAUAUUGUUGUCGCAUGGCAAUGAUAUCAAAGAUUUAUCGCUGAAAGAUGGCCUCGCGUCUGAUUAGCUAGUUGGUAGGGUAACGGCCUACCAAGGCGACGAUCAGUAGCCGGACUGAGAGGUUGGCCGGCCACAUUGGGACUGAGAUACGGCCCAGACUCCUACGGGAGGCAGCAG
rnacentral:rRNA from 1 species